GAUCUGGAAUUUUAUCUGUUUCUGCAGUUCACUUCUUUUUCUCUCCCUAACCACGGACGGCCAGAACUGCGAGGGGACGGACUUUCAGUGCAUCAAUGGGCUUUGUCUCCUGGAAAGCUGGGUGUGCGAUGGGGCGGAGGACUGCCCGGACGGUCAGGACGAGGCUCCAGAGCUUUGUAAAACAAAAACGGUAACACCGCAACCACAGAAUACGUGCAAUGGCGUUCACUUCCGGUGCGGGACAGGCGAAUGUAUCCCAAAGGAAUGGCAAUGUGAUAGUGACAGGGAUUGUCGUGACGGCUCGGACGAACAAUGCG